rnacentral:rRNA from 1 species
AUUGAACGCUGGCGGCAGGCCUAACACAUGCAAGUCGAACGAGUGGCGGACGGGUGAGUAAUGUCUGGGAAACUGCCUGAUGGAGGGGGAUAACUACUGGAAACGGUAGCUAAUACCGCUUACCAUCGUAUGUGCCCAGAUGGGAUUAGCUAGUAGGUGGGGUAAAGGCUCACCUAGGCGACGAUCCCUAGCUGGUCUGAGAGGAUGACCGGCCACACUGGAACUGAGAAACGGUCCAGACUCCUACGGGAGGCAGCAGUGGGGAAUAUUGGACAAUGGGCGCAAGCCUGAUGGAGCAAUGCCGCGUGUAUGAAGAAGGCUUUCGGAUUGUAAAGCACUGUCAGCAGAGAAGCGUUAUCCGCAGAAGAAGCACCGGCUAACUACGUGCCAGCAGCCGCGGUAAUAC